GAUGAACGCUGGCGGCGUGCCUAAUACAUGCCAGUCGAGCGAACAGACGAGGAGCUUGCUCCUCUGACGUUAGCGGCGGACGGGUGAGUAACACGUGGAUAACCUACCUAUAAGACUGGGAUAACUUCGGGAAACCGGAGCUAAUACCGGAUAAUAUAUUGAACCGCAUGAUUCAAUAGUGAAAGACGGUUUUGCUGUCACUUAUAGAUGGAUCCGCGCCGCAUUAGCUAGUUGGUAAGGUAACGGCUUACCAAGGCGACGAUGCGUAGCCGACCUGAGAGGGUGAUCGGCCACACUGGAACUGAGACACGGUCCAGACUCCUACGGGAGGCAGCAGUAGGGAAUCUUCCGCAAUGGGCGAAAGCCUGACGGAGCAACGCCGCGUGAGUGAUGAAGGUCUUCGGAUCGUAAAACUCUGUUAUUAGGGAAGAACAAAUGUGUAAGUAACUAUGCACGUCUUGACGGUACCUAAUCAGAAAGCCACGGCUAACUACGUG
rnacentral:rRNA from 1 species